GUACCACCCAAGGUGACCUCGAACUCCUGGACUCAAGUGAUCCUCCUGUGGCAGACUUCUGAGUAGCUGGGAUUACAGGUCCACACUGCUUUUAUGAGUUGUAACAGUUACUGGGAAGGUCUGUAGCCUCACUCCUGAGGCCAGUGAAAUCAAGAACCCCCCAGAAGAAAUGGAUAACUCUGGACGCAGUGCCUUAAGAGCUGCAACAAUCGCUACAAAGAUCUGCAGCUUGACUCCUGAAACCAGGGGGACCACGAACCCACCAGAAGAAAGAAACUCUGAAUGCUUCAAACAUCAGAAGGAACAAAUUCCAGACACACCAUCUUUAAAAACUGUAACAGUCACUGCGAAGGUCCGUGGCUUCAUUCUUGAAGUCAGUGAAACCAAGAACCCGCCAAUUCUGGACACAGUAUGAUCUUUUUCUUGGAUGAGCAGAGUCUGUAGAAGUGUGGACCACCCUGCUACAUGCCAGUCCAGGGCAUGGGUGAGAUGCCACACUUACAGCAUCCCAUUGUGAAGGUGAACAAAUGCUGCAAGUGGCGUGAGGCUAAGAUAAGUUGACAUUUCACAGGCAAUGCUAAGAAAUUAAGUGGGACAAGGCUGGAAUGGUUAGGGGCAAGGUGUGAAGCCUCAACAGGGAGAAACAGGAGAACCCUGAAGAAGGGGGCUGGCACAGCAGGCACAGAAGUAGCGCAAAGAGCCCUGAAGCUUCCAGCGGGCACUGGCAGGGGCUUCUGUCUAUCCCCACACUGGGACCUUCAGGCUGCCACUAAACUGUACUUUAAAAAAUGGUUAAAAUGGGCUGGGCAUGGUGGCUUACACCUGUAACCCUAGCACUUUGGGAGGCCGAGGUGGGCAGAUCACCUGAGUUCAGGAGUUCGAGACCAGCCUGGCCAACAUGGUGAAACCCUGCCUCUACUAAAAAUACAAAAAUUAGCUGGGCAUGGUGGUAGAAACCUGUAAUUCCGGCUGCUCUGGAGGCUGAGACAGGAGAACCGCUUGAACCUGGGGCGGAGGUUGCAGUGAGCUGAGAUAGUGCUACUGUACUCCAGCCUGGGCGACAGAGCAAGACUCUGUACCCCUCCAAAAAAAAUGCAUUUUGCAAUGUGAACCUUAAAAGGCUCUGAAUGUUCACGUUCCAUUUUCAGAGUUCAAAUGGUCAAGAAAACCUCAUAAAAACAAAAACUCCAAUUAAAUACUUGCUGGGAACUACUGGCCAGUUUUUCUUCUGAUUUGGGUCAUACCACAACCCUCAUGCAACUAGCUGGAGUAACCCUUGUCCGUAGUUUAAAUCACUCUGAGCUUUCCAGAGUCGCAAUCAGGUGGCUUUUGGGCACAACGCUAGGCACUGCCUGUUUCUGGUAGUUCUAAGGUGGAUGUUUUGGCAAGUGUGAUGAUUUGCGUCCACAUUUCAGCUGAGACUGUUGCUGCAGGGGUCUUUGUUCAGCAUGACUUUCAGCUGGCAUCACACCACACUCUCAAGUUACCCAUUCAUACAUAUUUAAGCUCUGAGCUAGGUUCUAGGGAUUCUAGGUCAGAGUUCCUGCCCUCAAAGAGCUCAUGAACUAGGUAUUUUUAAAAAAUAACUUCGUAAUUGUGCAGACAUGUAAUCACUCAUGUAAUCACCAGAAAGCCAAUUAGAAAUCUCCAUGUAUAUACGUCUUUAUAUGAUGCUUAUGUGCCAAGUAUUGUAAGAGUUUUGCACAUAUUUAGUAAUUUAACCCCCAUAAAAAUCCCAUGGGGUAGAUACUCUUAGGCGCUCCAUUUUACAGAUAAGGAAACAGGAACAAAAAGGUUAACUAACUUAUGUAAGACCAUGUGGCUUGUAUGAAGGCACACUAGGCAGUCUGGCUCCAAGGUUUGGUCACUAAGUACCACACUAAGAGGCCUCUCAUUCAGCUUUUGGAGUAACAAUGAACAUUACAGGCAACCAAAAUCCUAAAUGUGAAUUAAUUGACAGGAUUUUAGGCCAAGAACAAACAGCUGUAUUCAUAAAUAUUGUCUUGUGGGAGGAGGGAAGGGGAACUGGCUAAUUUGUUUUGUGGUUAAAGGACUAAGUAAAUUUUGUUUUAUUAUACCGCAAGAAAUUAGUCCUGGUAUUUCUAGUUUGUAGAAUAGACAAUUUGUACUUGUCACUGCUCAUACCCUUGUUUAGGUUAAUUAGGCGCAACAAUUUUAAGUCAUUUAUUUUGUAUGAGUAACGUGGCUCUAUACACGCAAGCGAUGGUUUAUGGUUGUAGAAAACUACCCAUCAAUGUCAAAGAUCUGAUUUAGAUAAAAGGGAUUAUUUUCUAAACAUGCAGUAGAGUUUGGGAACAUUUUUAUUAUCUUCUGU
rnacentral:lncRNA from 10 species